AACGAACGCUGGCGGCAGGCUUAACACAUGCAAGUCGAGCGCGUAGCAAUACGAGCGGCAGACGGGUGAGUAACGCGUGGGAAUCUACCCAACCCUACGGAAUAACCCAGGGAAACUUGGACUAAUACCGUAUACGCCCUUCGGGGGAAAGAUUUAUCGGGGAUGGAUGAGCCCGCGUUGGAUUAGCUAGUUGGUGGGGUAAAGGCCUACCAAGGCGACGAUCCAUAGCUGGUCUGAGAGGAUGAUCAGCCACAUUGGGACUGAGACACGGCCCAAACUCCUACGGGAGGCAGCAGUGGGGAAUAUUGGACAAUGGGCGCAAGCCUGAUCCAGCCAUGCCGCGUGAGUGAUGAAGGCCCUAGGGUUGUAAAGCUCUUUCACCGGAGAAGAUAAUGACGGUAUCCGGAGAAGAAGCCCCGGCUAACUUCGUGCCAGCCGCCGCCGUAAUAC
rnacentral:rRNA from 1 species